UACGUAGGGUGCGAGCGUUUGUCCGGAAUUACUGGGCGUAAAAGGAGCUCGUAGGUGGUUUGUCGCGUUGUUCGUGAAAACUCACAGCUCAACUGUGGGCGUGCGGGCGAUACGGGCAGACUGGAGUACUGCAGGGGAGACUGGAAUUCCUGGUGUAGCGGUGGAAUGCGCAGAUAUCAGGAGGAACACCGGUGGCGAAGGCGGGUCUCUGGGCCGAUACUGACGCUGAGGAGCGAAAGCGUGGGGAGCGAACAGG
rnacentral:rRNA from 1 species